UACAGAGGGGGCAAGCGUUAUUCGGAAUUAUUGGGCGUAAAGGGCGCGUAGGCGGCUUGGCAAGUGGAUGGUGAAAUCCCUCGGCUUAACCGAGGAACUGCCGUCCAAACUGCUUCGCUUGAGACCGGGAGAGGUGAGUGGAAUUCCCAGUGUAGCGGUGAAAUGCGUAGAUAUUGGGAGGAACACCAGUGGCGAAGGCAGCUCGCUGGGACGGUACUGACGCUGAGACGCGAAAGCGUGGGGAGCGAACAGG
rnacentral:rRNA from 1 species